CAGCAGCCACGGUAAUACGUAGGGUCCGAGCGUUGUCCGGAAUUAUUGGGCGUAAAGGGCUCGUAGGCGGUUUGUCGCGUCGGGAGUGAAAACCCAGGGCUUAACUUUGGGCUUGCUUUCGAUACGGGCAGACUUGAGGCAUUGAGGGGAGAACGGAAUUCCUGGUGUAGCGGUGAAAUGCGCAGAUAUCAGGAGGAACACCGGUGGCGAAGGCGGUUCUCUGGCAAUGUUCUGACGCUGAGGAGCGAAAGUGUGGGGAGCGAACAGGAUUAGAUACCCGUGUAGUCCCUGUCUCUUAUAC
rnacentral:rRNA from 1 species